rnacentral:lncRNA from 1 species
GAUGUUUCAUCUGAAUUAUCUCAUUCCUUCCUAAGACAACAAUUUUUCACUAUGCUUUUUUAAAAAUGAUGUCUAUUGUAUGUUGGAUGAAGAAUAAGAAAUACUGUUUAAAAUAUAAAAUAUGAACCUUGUUAUAUAUUGCCCUAAAAAUUGGCAAAAAAGAUUUUUCCAUUCUAUAUAGAUUGGAAGCUGAAUUUAUGACAGAUUAAAGGAGGGAGAGGCUGGAAUCUGGGAAGCUAGCUAGGAGAUUUAUGCAGUAAUCUAAGCACUAUCUGAUGAGACCCAGGACUAAAGUGCAAAUAGAAUGGACAAGAAGGUAUAAAUGGAAGAAAUAUUUCAAGGAAACACAUGAUAGGUCUUGGUGAAAUGUUGGAUAUAAGUGAUGGGAAGAGGCAGUCCAAGGGGAUGCCAAGGUUUUCAGUGUAGCCUGCAGAAGACAGUGGCAUUAUUUGUGGACACAGAGAACUCAAAGGGAGUGUCUCCUAUUUCCCAAGUGCACACACUCUCACACUGGUGCCUUGAAAUAGUUGCUAUAAGCCUUGAAUUUAGUGUAAGGCUAUUUCAUCUUGGACCCCAUUUAAGAAAGUUUAUUCCUGGAAGUCCUAGAAGGAUUUCAUUACAACAUCAUUUUUCACUUACAACAUGAUUAUGCAACUUGCAUGCAAUAGGAGAAUCAAAAGUAAGGCUCCAGAGUAUUGGUCUGUCCUGUAAAUGAGCCUAAAGACCUGAAAUCUGAAAGAAAAUUUGGUGGGCCUAUAGAUCCAAAUUGAUAAGAAGUAAGAAUACUAAUAAAAAUGUACAACAUUAUCCUGAAUUCGUUUAGGUUUAUGUUCACUGCCCCAAGAAAAAUUACCAGGCACUGUUAGUAGUCGGAUGACCUGAUUAAAAUACUGGGCAGAUAAAGUUGCCUGUGGGAUGGUAGAUAUUUUUGGACUUCUCAGCAAGAUUCCUGGAACCAUUCUGUUUUCAGCAUGGCCGGGCUUGACCUCCUCUCGCAGUCCUUGGAAAAAUAAAUACCAACAGGGGAAUCUGUAUCUGAAGCUUCUGACAAGGGCUUACCUUCUUGACUGCAUCCACAAGGAGAAGAGGUACAUUACCCCAAAUUUUGAAAAGCAGAAGUUCAUUCUAAAGGCAAAGAGUCUUCUGUCUUCCAAUCAGCUGUUUCUCUCUUUGGUCAGUCUCCUCCUUUCGUCUCCAGUGAGUGGUCAGGUCAGGAAGGUGCCUCAGUGAGGGUGCCCUAAACUCUAAUCCUGGGUAUCUCAGGCUCUAUUAAAGUCUGGAGAAUGGGACAGAAUUUUGCUCAGCUCACAAGGUGCUUGAGUUAAUUUCAAAAUGAGAGCUAGUAUGUACAGAAUGUUGUAAACACAGCACAAGAUCAAGGGAUAUUUACAUCUAGGGGCAUUUUGUUACUCUACCUCUUGAAUGAUAAACACCACCUUCAUAUCAUGUAAUAGUAUAUAGUUUGUCAGUUUCUUAGAGCGCAAUUCUGUUCUUCCCUAGUGCUGUGGAGAAUACUCGUUGAUUACUUUAAUCAGUUUUAAAAUUCAGAAUUUCCCACGGAAAAAAAACAUUCUUCUUUGUUAAGGGUAAUUAGCUAACACACACACACACACACACACACACACACACACACGGGUGCACACACAUUGGGAUUUUAAAAUAGUUUCCUUUUACUUGUUUUGGAACAGCAUUCACCACCGGUAUUAUUUUUAAAGUUUUGCAUCACCAUUCAGAUAACUUUUAAGGCAAGCAGAAGGCUAAUUUUUAAAAUGUGUUUCAUAUGGUCUGUUUUGCCUGGUAGGAUAAUCUGGAUAAAUCUUCCUUUGAGACAUUCCUUCCAUUUAUCUCUUUGUUUCUGCAACAGCUAGCUUGUUCCUCACCUCCAGGAGGGCUCACUUGACUUUUCCAGGGAUUUUCAAUUAUUUCCAGAUGUUGGACAAAAUACAAGAUUGAGGGUGCCAUGGUUUUCAGAAGAUCCUCACCUCCUAUGUUUGUCCUUUAUUUUUUUUAUUUUUUAAUUGAGAGAGAGAGAGAGAGCGAGCGAGCUGGGGAGAGGGGCAGAGGGAAAGGGAGAGAGAGUCUCUUAAGCAGCCUCCAUGCCCAGUGCAGAGCCCAAUGCGGGGGUUGAUCUCACGACUAUGAGAUCAUGACUUGUGCUGAAAUCAAGAGUCAGAUGCUUAACUAACUCAGCCACCCAGGUGUCCUUGUCCUUUAUCUUUUGAAUACUAUGUUCAUUGUUAUGUUUUAUAGAGUGACAUAGGUUAUAAGUCAUCCUGUAUUCACUUUUAAGUUUGUAUUUCAUACUUUGCUAAAUUUACACUAUUUUUCCUCCUUUCAUUGCCAAAGUCCCCAUGUCAGUGGCUUAAUUCUUGAUGUUUUGUGUUCCUUCCUGAGACUUAGUGAAUUCUCAAAUGUGAAGGCGUUUUCUGAACUAUUCUCAGUGUGGGUUUCUAAGUGGUGAAGUGGAGAAUCCUUCUCAUCUGCGCUGCCUUCAGCAGCUGUGUAAAUACAGCUGGAAACUUGCAAGCAGACAGGGUUGAAAUUGUAAAUAGGUUUCCUUAUGCGUUUUGGAAUGCUGAUCUGAGAACCACGGACCCUGAAUUUCAGAGGAGCCUCCACAAUGGCAACUUUCAGAUACCUAUUUAAUGUGACUUUCUAGAUUUAGACACAGCCUUGCCCUUGGAGACAUAUUACUUCUUCAGCUUCAACAUAUUUCUUGGACUUUACAUCUUACAAUACCCUAAAUCUCAUAACGAAUAGAAAUAUUAUGAAUCCUCUACCCUUCUGAAUGUUCAGUGCAGGGAAGGUGUAUUAGUUUGCUAGGGCUGCCAUAGCAAAGUACUACAGAGUGGGUGGCUGAAACAACAGAAAUUUAUUUUCUCACAGUUCUAGAGAUUAGGGUGUCAGCAAGGCUGGUUUCUUUUGAGGCCUCUCUCCCUGGCUGGUAGAUGGCUGUCUUCUCCCUAUGUUUUCACAGGGUCUUCCCCAUGUGUGUCUAUGUCCUCAUCUCCUCUUCUUACAGGACACAAGUCACAUUGGAUUAGGGCUCCCCUUAUGACUUCAUUUUACCCUAACUACCUAUUUCAAGACCCUGUCCCCAAAUACAGUCACAUUCUGAGGUGCUGGGCAUUAUGACUUCAACAUGGAGGGGACACAAUUCAACCCAUCCUAGGAAGGAAGCACGAAGAAAAGGGAAAUGGUAAGAAAAUUACUCAAGGCUUGCUGUUGGAAAAUUGACUAUGUGGGUUCUACAUUCAGCAGAUAUAAAACUGAGCUCAUUAUCACCCCCUUCUCCUCCCAAAUCCACUCUUCUUCUAGUAUUUUCUGUUUUAGGAAGAAGCACGAUCAUCCAAGCAAUCACAGAGUCAGAAGUCUGGGAUCACCUUAGACUCUUUUCUCCAGUUAAUCUGUAGUACUCCUUCAAGCCCCCAAGGACCCCUGCAAUUCAUAAUGUAACCCUACCUCCAUAAUGUAACUUGACUCCUUCUCUCUUCUUCUUUCCCAUGAGCCAUUCAUGAUUACUCACCUAGAUUACUAUAAUAGUCUCCUAAUUGAUCUCACUUCAAUUCUUUACCUUCUUCAUACCCAAAUACAUCCUCUGAAUUGCUCUAAGAAUAAUCUUUCUAGGAAAAAAAAUACCUGUUCACGUCAUGUUCAGAUUAAAUGUGUUCAAUAGUUGUAUAUUGCUUUAAGCAUAGGAUUCAAAUUUCUUAGUUCAAGCAUGUACUAUAAUUCUUUCCUUUCAGUAUGAUUGGUUGAACUUAGGUCACAUGCUCAUCUCUAGCCCAUUAUCAGAGCCAAACAACUUAAUUCAGUAAUGGGCUAAAAUAAUUAGGAUCUACUCCUCAGGAUCACCUUCCCUGGAACUUGAGGGCUCUAAGGUAGAAAGGAUGGAGACUAGGACAAGACAGGAUUUCAUUAACAAAGAGGAAGAGGACCCAAAGAACAAAUAAUCUAGUUAAUAAAUGGACAGAAGAUAUGAAUAGACA